AUUGAACGCUGGCGGAAUGCUUUACACAUGCAAGUCGAACGGUAGAGGGGGCAACCCCUUGAGAGUGGCGAACGGGUGAGUAAUACAUCGGAACAUGCCCAGUCGUGGGAGAUAACGUAGCGAAAGCUACGCUAAUACCGCAUACGAUCUACGGAUGAAAGCGGGGGACCGAAAGGCCUCGCGCGAUUGGAGUGGCCGAUGGCAGAUUGGGUAGUUGGGGGGGUAAAGGCCUACCAAGCCUGCGAUCUGUAGCUGGUCUGAGAGGACGACCAGCCACGCUGGGAAUGAGACACGGCGCAGACUCCGACGGGAGGGAGCAGUGGGGAAUUUUGGACAAUGGGGGCAACCCUGAUCAAGCAAUGCCGCGUGCAGGAAGAAGGCCUUCGGGUUGUAAACUGAUUUUGUACGGAACGAAAAGGCUCUGGUUAAUACCUGGGGUUUAUGACGGUACCGUAAGAAUAAGCACCGGCUAACUACGUGCCAGCCGCCGUAGUAA
rnacentral:rRNA from 1 species